rnacentral:rRNA from 1 species
UACAGAGGGGCGAGCGUUGUUCGGAAUUACUGGGCGUAAAGGGCGCGUAGGCGGCCUGCUAAGUCGAACGUGAAAUCCCCGGGCUCAACCCGGGAACUGCGUCCGAUACUGGUGGGCUUGAAUCCGGGAGAGGGAUGUGGAAUUCCAGGUGUAGCGGUGAAAUGCGUAGAUAUCUGGAGGAACACCGGUGGCGAAGGCGACAUCCUGGACCGGUAUUGACGCUGAGGCGCGAAAGCGUGGGGAGCGAACGAGGA